CCCAAAAUGUUGCCCUGAAGUUGAAAGCAUAUGUCUUAUAGGUAAAGGAGACGACCGGCAUGAUUGGCACGAAGACGCUCGCACGGAGAUGCUGAAUAAUGGAGAGCAGUGCGUGAUGCUCCGUACGUGAUACCUCUCUGUAGCAGAUGGGUUUGGGAUACAGCAGCUAUUUACAGAGCGGAGCCCGAAGUCCAGUGAGAGGCGAAAGGGGCGGAGCUUGUGCUACAGGGUGGCCUCACA